UUCUUCAAUUACCAAUUUUCA
ensembl:piRNA 21ur-11427 ncRNA